GGCGAACGGCUGAGUAACACCGUGGGCAACCUGCCCCCCGCACCGGGAUAGCCUCGGGAAACCGUGGGUAAUACCGGAUACUCCGCCACCCCCGCAUGGGGGAGGCGGGAAAGCGUACACGGCGGGGGAUGGGCCCGCGGCCUGUUAGCUCGUUGGCGGGGUAACGGCCCACCAAGGCGAUUAUGGGUAGCCGGGUUGAGAGACCGACCGGCCAGAUUGGGACUGAGACACGGCCCAGACUCCUACGGGAGGCAGCAGUGGGGAAUCUUGCACAAUGGGCGAAAGCCUGAUGCAAGCGACGCCGCGUGCGGGAUGAAGGCCCUCGGGUUGUAAACCGCUUUCAGCAGGGACGAGGCGCAAGUGACGGUACCUGCAGAAGAAGCCCCGGCUAACUACGUGCCAGCCGCUGC
rnacentral:rRNA from 1 species